rnacentral:rRNA from 1 species
AACGAACGCUGGCGGCAUGCCUAACACAUGCAAGUCGAACGUGAUCCGGGGCUUGCUCCGGUGAAAGUGGCGGACGGGUGAGUAACGCGUGGGAACCUGCCCUUUGGUCGGGGAUAACUGCGGGAAACUGCGGCUAAUACCCGAUGUACCCGAGAGGGGAAAGAUUUAUCGCCGAAGGAUGGGGCCCGCGUCGGAUUAGGGUAGUUGGUGGGGUAAACGGCCUACCAAGCCUUCGAUCCGUAGCUGGUCUGAGAGGAUGAUCAGCCACACUGGGACUGAGAUACGGCCCAGACUCCUACGGGAGGCAGCAGUGGGGAAUAUUGGACAAUGGGCGCAAGCCUGAUCCAGCAAUGCCGCGUGAGUGAAGAAGGCCUUAGGGUUGUAAAGCUCUUUCGGCGGGGACGAUGAUGACGGUACCCGCAGAGAAGCCCCGGCUAACUCCGUGCCAGCAGCCGCGGUAAUGCACGACUG